GCCCAGAUAGCUCAGUUGGUAGAGCACACCCUUGGUAAGGGUGAGGUCGUCAGUUCGAAUCUGAUUCUGGGCU
rfam:Opitutaceae bacterium TAV5, complete genome.